UAAAAGCAGUGUGAUAAACUGACAUAGAAACAAUAGCUUGAGUUAUCCAUCUUCAUUUUGUGCAUACUUCUAUCAGGUGAUAUAUGACUUCAUUUUAAGAAAUGGAAAGAAGGAUCUGAAUGAAUUCUCAAAAACAAAAAUCAUACAGCUGCUUACUGCUGUGAAGGAGUUGAUGAGGGAAGACUCCAUUAAUAUGCAGUUGCUGACUGAGAAGAAGUUGUUAUAAGGCAUUGAUGCAGACAAGAUGGUGGUGACAAAUCUUGGCAAGAUGGCUUCCCAAUUAAUAGCACUAGCCCGAAGACUCAAUUAAAGCAGAUGUGUGUAAAAAAAAAUAAACAGCUGCUUGAAUGACCUAGAGAAGAAAGGUUUGGAGUUGACUGCAGCAAUAUUACUUCUACCAUCCCUG